CCUGGUUGAUCCUGCCAGUAACAUAUGCUUGUCUCAAAGAUUAAGCCAUGCAAGUCUGAGUACGAACGGCCGGUACAGUGAAACUGCGAAUGGCUCAUUAAAUCAGUUAUGGUCCCUUUGAUCGCUCCCAUCCGUUACUUGGAUAACUUGUGGUAAUUCUAGAGCUAAUACAUGCAAACGAGCGCUGACCUUCGGGGAUGCGUGCAUUUAUCAGACCCAAAACCCAACCGGCGGCGCCCGCGCCCCGGCCGCUUUGGUGACUCUAGAUAACCUCGGGCCGAUCGCGCGCCCUUGGCGGCGGCGACGUCUCUUUCGAAUGUCUGCCCUAUCAACUUUCGAUGGUACUUUGUGCCUACCAUGGUGACCACGGGUAACGGGGAAUCAGGGUUCGAUUCCGGAGAGGGAGCCUGAGAAACGGCUACCACAUCCAAGGAAGGCAGCAGGGCGCACAAAUUACCCACUCCUGACGCGGGGAGGUAGUGACGAAAAAUACAAUACAGGACUCUUUCGAGGCCCGUAAUUGGAAUGAGUACAGUUUAAAUCCUUUAACGAGGAUCCAUUGGAGGGCAAGUCUGGUGCCAGCAGCCGCGGUAAUUCCUUCCCGACACGGGGAGGUAGUGACGAAAAAUAACGAUACAGGUCUCUUUCGAGGCCCUGUAAUCGGAAUGAGCGUAUCCUAAACCCAUGGGUGAGGACCCAUUGGAGGGCAAGUCUGGUGCCAGCAGCCGCGGUAAUUCCAGCUCCAAUAGCGUAUAUUAAAGUUGCUGCAGUUUAAAAAGCUCGUAGUUGGAUCUCGGGAGUGGGCUGGCGGUCCGCCGCGAGGCGAGCCACCGCCUGUCCCAGACCCUGCCUCCCCGGUGCCCCCCGGAUGCCCUUGGCUGGGUGUCCGGUCCCUUUCAGGGGUCCGGAGCGUUUACUUUGAAAAAAUUAGAGUGUUCAAAGCGGGCCGCCAAACUCGCCUGAAUACCUGAGCUAGGAAUAAUGGAAUAGGACUCCGGUUCUAUUUUGUGGGGGGAUCGGGCUGGCGGUCCGCCGCGAGGCGUGCCACCGCCUGUCCCAGCCCCUGCCUCUCGGCGCCCCCUCGAUGCUCUUAGCUGAGUGUCCCGCGGGGUCCGAAGCGUUUACCUUUGAGAAAAAAUUAGAGUGUUCAAAGCAGGCCCGGUCGCCUGAAUACCGCAGCGAGGAAUAAUGGAAUAGGACUCCGGUUCUAUUUUGUGGGUUUCCCGAACUGGGGCCAUGAUUAAGAGGGACGGCCGGGGGCAUUCGUAUUGUGCGGCUAGAGGUGAAAUUCUUGGACCGGCGCAAGACGGCGAAACGAAAGCAUUUGCCAAGAAUGUUUUCAUUUAAUCCAAGAACGAAAGUCGGAGGUUCGAAGACGAUCAGAUACCGUCGUAGUUCCGACCGUAAACGAUGCCGACCCGCGAUCCGGCGGCGUUAUUCCCAUGACCCGCCGGGCAGCGUCCGGGAAACCAAGGUCUUUGGGUUCCGGGGGGAGUAUGGUUGCAAAGCUGAAACUUAAAGGAAUUGACGGAAGGGCACCACCAGGAGUGGAGCCUGCGGCUUAAUUUGACUCAACACGGGAAACCUCACCCGGCCCGGACACGGAAAGUAUUGACAGAUUGAUAGCUCUUUCUCGAUUCUGUGGGUGGUGGUGCAUGGCCGUUCUUAGUUGGUGGAGCGAUUUGUCUGGUUAAUUCCGAUAACGAACGAGACUCCCGCAUGCUAAAUAGUUACGGGGCCCCGAGCGGUCGGCGGCCAACUUCUUAGAGGGACAAGUGGCGUUCAGCCACACGAGAUUGAGCAAUAACAGGUCUGUGAUGCCCUUAGAUGUCCGGGGCGGCACGCGCGCCACACUGAGUGGAGCAACGUGUGCCUACCCUUCGCCGACAGGCGCGGGUAACCCGCUGAACCCCAGCCGUGAUUGGGAUCGGGGAUUGCAAUUAUUCCCCAUGAACGAGGGAAUUCCCAGUAAAGAGAAGGGAGGGGCCCCGCCGGUGGGGGGGCCCCGCCGGAAAAUGUUUGGAAACCGGUGGGGCGCCUUUGGGGCGCUCUGCUCACCCUCCCGGUUCUUGGCCAGGUUUCCCCGCCCGCCCGUCGUACUGAAAUAAACACCGGCGGCAGAGUGGCGCCCUGCCUUAUCAAAGGGGCUCCGGCCAGGGGUGCUGGAUAG
rnacentral:rRNA from 1 species